GAAAGGGCUCGGUGCAAUCCAUUCAUCUUCCCCGGUCUCUCCUCUCUCUCUAACCUCCCUCGAGUUGCAGAUCUGAUCUGAACACAAGGGAAACGGUGAGACAGGUAGAGAGUUGCAUCUGUGGAGAAGAAGCAGAGACACGGCCGGCGAAGCUGAUCGGAAUAGACAAUCGGAAAGUAUACAAACCGGCACCGACUAAUCUGUUUAGAACAGAAGAGCCCGGGGUAGGUGGUGUCGUUGUCUGCCGAAGGUGGAGAUUGGCACCGACGGGAACAGUCUCUUCACGGCGUCGUAGAAGGCAAUAAGAUAGGCGGCGGUGGGCGCGUGUAAACGUGUCGGCCGACGGUGACGAUGAAUCAUGGAAGACGCCGGUGAGGCUUCAUCGGUUCUUUGUCCUUUUGGACACAAUAAAGGUUGUAUUUGGAUGGCAAAUCGUAUACAUACAUCUUCAAAUCCUUCAACAAACCUUGAUGGGUUCUGGGUUGUUGUAUAAAUGUGGUGUUGGGUGAUUCGAAGAGGGCACGGGAGGUUAAUGGUAAGCUUUUAGAUAGAGAAAGGAGGUGAUUUUAGAGAGAGAAUCAGUGGGUUCGUGGGUAUUGGGGGUUUGGAUGAUGAGAUAAGAAGUGAAGAAAUAGAAGGAGAGAGAAAACCAGCGAACCCAUUUGAAGUACCUGUACCAAAAGAUGUGAUCUUCAUGUUGUCUUCCAUGUUUGCUCUGUACAAGUCGCAUCCUCACAACUAUUGCUUGCUCUGUACAACUAUUGCUUGUCACAAUCAUUGGAUUUGAAGUUAGGAUUGGUGGAUUCAAAGAGACACCACCAAAAACUGCCGACAGUGAAAUCCCGGCGAUGAUGGAGAAGAAAGCAGAUCGGCGACGGAGGAGGACUCCACUCCAAGCAACGGCACCACCUACCCCGGGCUAAUCUUUUCGCGCGUUGUGAUCGGAAAAUGGCGCGUGUGAUGAUGUGAACUCGUUGUAUGAUUAAUUUAUGCCGGAUGGAGUGCCACAUCAUUUCUGCCUUGCAAAUCGGCCAGACAUUGCUGCCUGUCUAUCAUGACCCAUUUUAUGGGCGCGAAUCACCUGUGCAAUUCCUAUACGGUUUAAUUUUUAAAUAAUCCAUAUUUGGCCACAUCA